GUCAGGACUGCAGUAAGAAGACUCUGCUCUGAAUUCCUUGCAACAGCUUUCUUAAAUUGUGGAUGUGCGCUCUUCCCUUGAUGCUAUGAGACAUCUCAGGAAGAGUAACCAGAGCCUGUUCCUGCAACAAGCAACCAGGAAGAAAGAACCCUCACUAAUAUGCUAGGAGAAGUGUUGAAACCAUGAUAUUUAUUCUGGAGGGGAAAAGACACAGAAGGAACAUGAGAGCUGUAGGCAAAUAUCUGAAGGGCUGGCUGAGGAAAAGCCAGCUCAGACUUAUUGCACUUCGAAUGGCAGAACUACAGGGGUCGGGCUCCACCGAUUCUCCCGAAGAUGUCAAGAGCGACCUUGGGAAAGACUUAUUUUGUGCAACAGGACUCAUGAUGGGACCAGGGUAGAGAGGCCAGGCAUUAACCUACUCUGGUUCCAGAGGGUUCCUCUGACCUGGACAAUCCACUCCCUUCUUCCCUUUUCCUCUAAGCAAAGCCACCUAGAUAAAGACUUGACACAAGUCCCUUUGUUCAAGACUUCAGGAAGAUAGCAGCAGAUUAUUAAAUAAUUUUAAAUAUUAUGUAAUUCUUUUUUAAAAUAUAUGUAUUUUUUAGUUGUGGAUGGACACAAUGCCUUUAUUUUGUUUAUUUGUUUAAAUGUGGUGCCGAGGAAUCGAACCCAGUGUCUCACCGUGCAAGGCAAGCGCUCUACCAUUGAGCCACAACCCC
rnacentral:lncRNA from 1 species